CGAGGCGAACCGGGGAAACUGAAACAUCUCAGUACCCCGAGGAAAAGAAAUCAACCGAGAUUCCCCCAGUAGCGGCGAGCGAACGGGGAGCAGCCCAGAGUCAACAUCAAUAUUUACCACAGGAGAAGGGUCUGGAAAAGCCGGCAAUAAAGGGUGAUAGCCCCGUAUCUAAAGCGGUAAGUGUUGUGAACUCGAAGAGUAGGGCGGGACACGUGUUAUCCUGUCUGAAUAUGGGGGGACCAUCCUCCAAGGCUAAAUACUCCUGACUGACCGAUAGUGAACCAGUACCGUGAGGGAAAGGCGAAAAGAACCCCGGCGAGGGGAGUGAAAUAGAACCUAAAACCGUGUACGUACAAGCAGUAGGAGCACCCGAAAGGGUGUGACUGCGUACCUUUUGUAUAAUGAGUCAGCGACUUAUAUUCUGUAGCAAGGUUAACCGCAUAGGGGAGCCGUAGGGAAACCGAGUCUUAACUGGGCGUUAAGUUGCAGGGUAUAGACCCGAAACCCGGUGAUCUAGCCAUAAGCAGGUUGAAG
rnacentral:rRNA from 1 species